GAUAAGGUCCGUGUUCGAAAGGGAAACAGCCCAGACCACCAGCUAAGGUCCCAAAAUAUAUGUUAAGUGGAAAAGGAUGUGGCGUUGCCCAGACAACUAGGAUGUUGGCUUAGAAGCAGCCAUCAUUUAAAGAGUGCGUAAUAGCUCACUAGUCGAGUGACACUGCGCCGAAAAUGUACCGGGGCUAAACAUAUUACCGAAGCUGUGGAUUGUCCUUUGGACAAUGGUAGGAGAGCGUUCUAAGGGCGUUGAAGCAUGAUCGUAAGGACAUGUGGAGCGCUUAGAAGUGAGAAUGCCGGUGUGAGUAGCGAAAGACGGGUGAGAAUCCCGUCCACCGAUUGACUAAGGUUUCCAGAGGAAGGCUCGUCCGCUCUGGGUUAGUCGGGUCCUAAGCUGAGGCCGACAGGCGUAGGCGAUGGAUAACAGGUUGAUAUUCCUGUACCACCUAUAAUCGUUUUAAUCGAUGGGGGGACGCAGUAGGAUAGGCGAAGCGUGCGAUUGGAUUGCACGUCUAAGCAGUAAGGCUGAGUAUUAGGCAAAUCCGGUACUCGUUAAGGCUGAGCUGUGAUGGGGAGAAGACAUUGAGUCUUCGAGUCGUUGAUUUCACACUGCCGAGAAAAGCCUCUAGAUAGAAAAUAGGUGCCCGUACCGCAAACCGACACAGGUAGUCAAGAUGAGAAUUCUAAGGUGAGCGAGCGAACUCUCGUUAAGGAACUCGGCAAAAUGACCCCGUAACUUCGGGAGAAGGGGUGCUCUUUAGGGUUAACGCCCAGAAGAGCCGCAGUGAAUAGGCCCAAGCGACUGUUUAUCAAAAACACAGGUCUCUGCUAAACCGUAAGGUGAUGUAUAGGGGCUGACGCCUGCCCGGUGCUGGAAGGUUAAGAGGAGUGGUUAGCUUCUGCGAAGCUACGAAUCGAAGCCCCAGUAAACGGCGGCCGUAACUAUAACGGUCCUAAGGUAGCGAAAUUCCUUGUCGGGUAAGUUCCGACCCGCACGAAAGGCGUAACGAUUUGGGCACUGUCUCAACGAGAGACUCGGUGAAAUCAUAGUACCUGUGAAGAUGCAGGUUACCCGCGACAGGACGGAAAGACCCCGUGGAGCUUUACUGUAGCCUGAUAUUGAAAUUCGGCACAGCUUGUACAGGAUAGGUAGGAGCCUUUGAAACGUGAGCGCUAGCUUACGUGGAGGCGCUGGUGGGAUACUACCCUAGCUGUGUUGGCUUUCUAACCCGCACCACUUAUCGUGGUGGGAGACAGUGUCA
rnacentral:rRNA from 1 species